UGGAGCCUGCUUCUGAUUCUGUGUCUCCCUCUCUCUCUGCCCCUCCCCCGUUCAUGCUCUGUCUCUGUCUGUCUCAAAAAUAAAUAAAUGUUAAAAAAAAAUUUUUUUAAAAAGAAAGGAAGCCACUGAGUACUUGUAUUUCAGGCCCCCAUAACCAGAUGGGCUUUUUUAAGGAUGGCCCUGACAGCGGGGAUUUGGAUGGGCUGCUCAGAGCUUGACAGAUAAUCGUAUGCACGUGCACACGAGAAAACAGAAAAGCCUUUUACUUCCAGGUCAGACGUCUUUCCCUGAUGGUGCCAUUGUAUCGUGGGCUGUGGAUGUUUCCAGAUACUCGCCCCAGAGCGACGCCCCACAUCCCGGGCGUGCUGACAUACAUCCACUUUUUUUUUAAUAUAUUUAAUGUUUAUUUAUUUAACUGAGAGAGAGACCAGAGUGGGGCAGAGUGACUCUGAAGUAGGCUCUGUGCUGUCAACGCAGAGCCCAACGUGGUACUCAGUCCCACAAACAGUGAGAUCAUGACCUGAGCCAAAAUCAACAGUAGAACACUUAACUGACUGAGCCAUCCAGGCGUCCUGACAUAAAUCUGCUUCUUAACACUGUACUCAGUGACUCAAGAACGUCCUUGGGUGCGUGACUCCAGCCAGGGUUCACUCUGCGGUCCUCUCCUUGCUAUCUGACACAUCCACUUAGGCAUCUUCCAGUACUUUCUAGUCAGUGGGUUAGGGUUUGACUAGCUUGUGUGUGCCUCUGCUAGGGUGAGAUGCAACCCAUCACAUGGGACAUGGAGACGGCCAGCAGGACUUCUGGCUCAUCGGUGCUCGUUACGCAGCCCGGCCAGUGGCCCCGAACCCCUCCAUUGCCACAUCUUCCAUACACUUGGCUUUCAUUCAUAAGUGAUUCCAGAACAAGAGACAUCUCGUGACGCUCAAAUUAUCCACAGCUUAUUGAUGGUAACACAGAGAGAAUGCUCCUUGCUCAAGCAGUUCUGAGCAGACUAGUCCUCCACAGGUUUGGAAGUAACCAGUGGAGACACGUCUCCUCGGGGGAGCAGGACCUCAGGUCCAUGAGUACGAUCCGUGACGGGUCAUGUGAACGUUCCCCUUCGGAAGCCCCCAGCCGCCCAGUGAUUGUCCAAACAACCAGCUUUGCUGUCCAUGCUGGAACGGCCCACUUUUUCUUCUGCCAAGCACUUUCUAUGAAGUAAUUGCAACUACCGUGUUGUGUGAAAAGAGAGGAGGUUCAAAGAGGGUAAUUUCGUCCAUUGUGGAGAGACACGCUCUGUGUGAAAGGCACAGAUGGGAGGUUUGCAUGUUGGGUAGAAUGGCCAGCAAGGUGCCAAUUUCAAUAGGUGAUCUCUCUUUUCUGCCUUCUCUUUCCCUCUCCCUCUUCCCCGACCCCACCCCUCUCUCCCUCUCCCCACCCCCAUCACCAGCCCUCGCUUUGCAAAGUUACGUGAGAAUGUGACACAUUCCUCCCGUAAGGCUCUACUCCUCCUCUUUAGACUUGGCCAUUAUAUCAACUACAUAUAAAACUCUGUUUAUAACUAAAAAUCUUCCCCAACAAGCUGUCUCACUAUGGAUGCUUUAGAUCCAAGUCUUUAAUUCCACUUGAGGGUUGUGGAAUAAAAUAGAUCAUAAGCAAGAACCCCAAACAAGUAAAAGGUCCUAAUGAAAAUGAGACUAAAAUAAAUGGAAUGUACUUUUUCCCUCUCUUCUAUUAUUUUAAAAAGGCUUUUCAUUUUAGGGCAGUUUUAGAUUUACACCAAAGUUGUUCAGGAGGUACCGAGACUGCUCCCCAACUCCCCCCACCGUCCUCCCCCAGCUUCCCUAUUGCUGACAUCCUCCAAUAGGACGGUCCAUUCAUGACAAUGGAUACACCGAUCUAGACCCUCCAUUAUGCUUUUUAAAUGGGAAUCUGUCUUUGAGGAUUUGUGGGAUUGGACAAUGCAGAUCGAAAGGGAUUUUUAACAACCAACCCAGUACUUGGGGAAACAUGUGCAGGUUUCUCUUGCCCCCUAAGUGGUGGGUAGUGAUAAUUCCCCCACAGGCAGGUGCCCCAGAGUUCCUGUGUGUCAGGAAUUACCAGGGUGAGCUCUCUGCUUGGACAGGCUCCCAGGACAAUGGGAUUUAGCCAGCAAGAAGCCCUAGAAAAGAGAAUCAUUUAAUUUUUUCUGGAACGUGCCUUCACGUCACUGGUUCGCUAGCAAAUCAUCAGACACACUCACCCCCUUAAUGAUCUCCAAAAGAUAAAGACUAAACAUUUUAUAAUUAAAUUCCAUGAAACUCUAAAAUUAAGCCAUUCAAGUUUUUAAUGGAAAUGACAAGGUUGACCUUUUUAUCCUGAAAGGAAAGAAUUAAACAGGGUUUCCAAUCCCUAAUGAUAAAAUAAAAUCAACACUGAUAUUUAAAUGGUUGCUGCUUCUUAAUUACGGAUGCCAAAGAUUUGCCACCCAUCAUGUUUUUAAACUGUUGGACAGGUCAGACUGUAGGCACAGCGAGAUUUUAGGGAAAAGUUAAGUAUGCAGAUGUCCUGUGAUCCGAUUGCGUGUUUUGGCCGGGGCACUGCACUCUCUUGUGAGAGCCCGGGUUCCUGGGUCAUGACUAAUAUGGGCUUCUUCACAGCCUUACCAUCCUUGGUCAUAACGUUGCUCAGGCCGGAGCCCAGGCUGCCAAGACCACAGGGCAGCCUUGUUAAUGUUACAUGACAGGCGGAGACUUUUUGGAAAACGUCUUCUGGUCCCCUGUUUAUACACCCCCAUUGAUAUUCGUCUGAAGAUCAUUUUACAGUCCAUUUACUUACAGCUGCAUCACAAGAGUCUUGGGCUGCUGCUAACAGGGCUUCUGCCAAGUACAGCUGUAACAGGGAGGUGCCCCGUGCUGCCCCGGAACCUGAGACACCCUGUUGGCAUCAUCAGCCGCCACCCCGUGUCCCUGGCCUGCGCCCCUGUCAUCUGAACGCUCAAGUCACCAAUAUCAAUGGGCUUGACUGGGGGGGAGUGGGGGGAACCUAUUAGAAGAGAACUUUGCAGAAUGAAUUUCUCAUUUCCUGUUUCAUUUGAUGAUGGAUGCGUAUUUUUAUAGUAGUAGACUGGUGAACUGUUUUUUCGCUUUUUUAGAACACUGUAGGUGGCAUUGGAAGAGCAGCCUUGGAAGAGCAGACAUUUGGGGAAUAAAUCAAAAGUGGAAAUACGGUCUCCGAACGGGACCGCCCCUUGCAAAGCAUGUUGCUGAAGCAGCGGUCGACCAUGUGACCUGAGCCCCAAACUAAUUAUACCAACUCCACGUCCUUUGUGGACAUAGAGGAGAGACCAGCUCUGAGCUUGGGGGCCGAGGACACUAGUUAGAAUAAGACUUUUACACCGUGUUUUCAGAUUCAUAGAUUUAUCUCUUCUUUUGAGUCCUGCAAAAGAUUUUCUAAAGCCACAUUUUAACAGCCCUCUAAUUUGAAAAGAUGGGCUGCUAUUUGCUGAAAGCAGCCUUGUUGGACACCCUGGGAAACAUCCAACAAGUGCAGGCGCCCCCAGGCCAUACGUGUUCUGAGGGCUUUGAUGUUAUUUUUAGAAAUGUGCACAAAUCUGAGCCAAAAACCAGCUUUCUUCUUUCGCUCCUGCUUCCUUUUCUUGUCCCUUCUCCGUCUUGGCUGUUUCCAUUAAUAUUUGUAUUUCCUGCUUUAGGGCAAAAAAAAAAAGGCAAAGUGUGAAGUGUAUUUACUUAAGUGCAAUUAAAAAUAAUAAAAUGCCUAUCUGCUAUGAGGAAAAACUCAACCAGCCUAUUAAAAUAAUAGCAGCUAGGGCACCUGGGUGGCUCAGUUGGUUAAGCAUCUGACUUCCGCUCAGGUCAUGAUCUCACGGUCCGUGGGCUUGAGCCCCGAGUCGCGCUCUGUGCUGACAGCUCAGAGCCUGGAGCCUGCUUCGGAUUCUGUGCCUCCUCCUCUCUCUGUCCCUCCCCCACUGUCUCUCUCUCUCUCUGUAAAAUAUAAAUAAAACAUUUAAAAAUUUUUAAAUAACAGCAGCAAAUAUAAGUCAACAAAGGAUGAGAGAUACAAUUUAGGGCCAUCAUUGACCUAAGGAACGGAGUAAGACAAGUGCCAUCCACUUGGUAUCAUACCAGCUGCAUCUAGCCCAGAGGCAGGUCAGAGUGGAAAGUCAUCCAGCCGCCUGUGAGACCACCAACCAAAUUAAUUUAGACUGAUUUUUAAAAAGUCACUUUAUUUGGUCCAAACCCAUUUAAAAAGCUUGUUUUUUAUCUUCUCCCUUGACCGUCUAACCAUAUUUGUCUUGGCUUGCUUGGGCCAUUUUAUCGAGAGAUCAACCACAAACUCCUGCCAGUUUUUAGUCAUGAGAACCUUCUUCGUUGGCAGGAAAAUCAAGAGGACACACAGGUUGUAAAGCAGCCACCGUACACAGGUGUUCCAGUAGCUCCUGUGAAGGACGUUUAAGUUAUAUUUGCGGUCCAUGGUCUUCCUUCCAGGAAGAUGGGAGACCACCUGCCCCCUUCGGAGGGAACAGCACUGCUUCAAGGCUGAGACAGGAGGAUUUGAAUGAGGCUGGCUUCGGUCACAGCUUCUGUCAUUUGAUAAUUGUACAAGUUCCUUCUGUAAGAUGCUUGAUUAAAAUUCUUGAUGACUUUGGUAAUCGCCACAAGGCUAGGAGAAUCUAAUGUUCUUGAAUUUGUUCCAUAUUCAUAAUAUAUCCAAUAACCAUGUGUAGUAACCAGACAAAUUCUCCCAAACACACACCAGCUGCGUUUCUAACCUCUCCCAGGGUUCACGCACCGGCUGUUCCUACAGCCUCGUGGACCGGCCAGCCGGGGUGGUGACUUCCAUUUUCAUUCAUUCAUAUAGUGCAUGUUCAUUACAUAACCUAAUCGUCCAUACACACUUGGUGUGUGUGACCAACUUGUAGGAGCAGCAUAGGUGGGAAAGUUCUGAGCUGACAAGAUGUUGCAAUAAGAUGUUAGAUGUUUUCUGGACGUUAAUUCAUUCUGUGGCUUUUGAAACUUUGGUCAAAAGGAAAUUUCUGUCCCUCUCCUGCUGAUAACUGGACAAAAUGGGGCUCAAGGCAGCUUUUCUAGCCCAAAGUCGAUUACAAAACAAUGAAAGUAGGGGUGUCUGGGUGACUCAGUCAGUUAAGUGUCCGACUCUUGAUCUCAGCUCAAGUCAUGAUUUCAUGGUUCGUGGGUUCAAACCCCACGUCAGGCUCUGUACCGACUGCACAGAACCUGCUUGGGAUUCUCUCUCUGUCUCUCUCUCCGCCCUCCCCCACUCACUCAUGCACUCUCUCUCUCAAAAUAAAUAAAACUUAAAAAAAAAACAAUGACACUAAGAAAAGUAUCAUUUCAUUCGUAUUCAAACAUACAUUCAAAAUUAUAACCAAAACGCAGAAAACCCCAGUGUUUUACUAGCUUUACUAACUUGAUUUCUGAGUCCUUGAAUGUGAUCCUUAUUUAUCAAUGCUUAUGUCAAAAACACACAAAAAUACCAGCAUGCUUACCAUUAUGACCUCUUAUAUCACCUCCCAAAGAGGGAAAAUAUGGUUACCUCUGAGCCUGCACUAAACGACUCUUGACCGAUUA